GGGAGUCGAGCAGGUUGCUGUUAUCGCCACUGCUUGUAAAGUCGUACGAGCCGGUCGCCGAAGCGCCAGCAAACAGACAUUGUGAGGUGUCUCCAGAAAUGAUCACCGCGGCGUUGAAAACCCUCGCCAUGUGGAGAGCCGAAGUCACCACCGACAUGAUACUCAACUAUAUUAUGGCCAACUAUCCAGUGUGCCCAGACAAGACGACUCUCCUACAGGAUUUG